UUUCCGUAGGUGAACCUGCGGAAGGAUCAUUAAAGAGUAAGGGUCUUCGGGCCCGAUCUCCAACCCUUUGUUUAACUACCAUGUUGCUUUGGCGGGCCAGUCUCACGACCGCCGGAAGUUUGGCUUCGACCAAACUUCUGGCCCGUGCCCGUCAGUGGCCCCUUCAAAUUCUUGAUCAAGUAUGAUGUCUUAGUUAAAAACUUAAUAGUUAAAACUUUCAACAACGGAUCUCUUGGUUCUG
rnacentral:misc_RNA from 1 species